AUUGAACGCUGGCGGCAGGCCUAACACAUGCAAGUCGAACGAGUGGCGGAAGGGUGAGUAAUGUCUGGGACACCGCCUGAUGGAGGGGGAUAAAUACUGGAACCGGUAGCUAAUACCGCAUACCAUCGGAUGUGCCCAGAUGGGUUUAGCUAGUAGGUGGGGUAAGGGCACACCUAGGCGACGCUCCCUAGCUGGUCUGAGAGGAUGACCAGCCACACUGGAACUGAGACACGGUCCAGACUCCUACGGGAGGCAGCAGGGGGGAAUAUGGCACAAUGGGCGCAAGCCUGAUGCAGCCAUGCCGCGUGUAUGAAGAAGGCCUUCGGGUUGUAAAGUACUUUCAGCGGGGAGGCGUUACCCGCAGAAGAAGCACCGGCUAACUCCGUGCCAGCAGCCGCGGUAAUUC
rnacentral:rRNA from 1 species